GAUGAACGCUAGCGGCAGGCCUAAUACAUGCAAGUCGAACGGUGUCUUCGGACAUAGUGGCGCACGGGUGCGUAACACGUAUGCAACCUACCUUACAUUGGGGGAUAGCCUUUCGAAAGGGAGAUUAAUACCGCAUAAGACAGUAGCUGGGCAUCCAGCAGCUGUUAAAGAUUUAUCGAUGUAAGCUGGGCAUGCGUCCAAUUAGCUAGUUGGUGAGGUAACGGCUCACCAAGGCAAUGAUUGGUAGGGGAACUGAGAGGUCAAUCCCCCACACUGGCACUGAGAGACGGGCCAGAACCCUACGGGAGGCAGCGGUAGGGAAUAUUGGGCAAUGGACGCAAGUCUGACCCAGCCAUGCCGCGUGCAGGAUGAAGGCGUUAUGCGUUGUAAACUGCUUUUAUACAGGAAGAAACGACUCUUGCGAGAGGCAUUGACGGUACUGUAUGAAUAAGCACCGGCUAACUCCGUGCCAGCCGCCGCAGUAAUAC
rnacentral:rRNA from 1 species